rnacentral:misc_RNA from 1 species
UGUGGACAGCACCAUGGGUCCCUCCA